GGAGGAAAGCAGGGGAUCGUAAGACCUUGCGCUUUUGGAGCGGCCGAUGCCUGAUUAGCUAGUUGGUGGGGUAAUGGCCUACCAAGGCUUCGAUCAGUAGCUGGUCUGAGAGGACGGCCAGCCACACUGGGACUGAGACACGGCCCAGACUCCUACGGGAGGCAGCAGUGGGGAAUUUUGGACAAUGGGCGCAAGCCUGAUCCAGCCAUGCCGCGUGAGUGAAGAAGGCCUUCGGGUUGUAAAGCUCUUUCAGCCGGGAAGAAAAGGUUGCGAUUAAUAAUCGCAAUUUAUGACGGUACCGGAAGAAGAAGCACCGGCUAACUACGUGCCAGCAGCCGCGGUAAUACGUAGGGUGCGAGCGUUAAUCGGAAUUACUGGGCGUAAAGGGUGCGCAGGCGGUUUUGUAAGUCAGAUGUGAAAUCCCCGGGCUUAACCUGGGAACUGCGUUUGAAACUACAAAGCUAG
rnacentral:rRNA from 1 species